ensembl:lncRNA
GAACCCAAUUCUUCAAGCCAGUCUCUACCCAAGGAAAUAUGUGUCCCAUCUGGUUUUGAGUUGGCACUAGGAUGCAAAAGAGAUCUGUUUAUACCUGGUCCUUCUUUUGAUAUUGAGCUGGAUGAACUGUUUGUAUCUUUUGGAAAUUGAGUCCUCUUGAGUCACGUCAUUUCUCCCAUUCUGCAGGUUGUCUUUUUUGUUUUGUUUAUGGCUCCCUUUGCUGCGCAAAAGCUUUUAAGUUUAAGUCAAGUAUUUUAAUACCGGUUCAGGUGAGCCAUUAUCUUUGAGAAUUUUCUGAGUGGGCAUAAAAAGCCCUUGGCAAUCUCAUCCAACAUCAUGCCAACAAAUAUAUUCUGAACUCCAACAGAUCUGACACACAUUUGACUCCACUCCAUUCCCUCCUUCCAUGCCUAGUAGUUGUAGUUUUUUCUUUGCAAGAAAUGUCUUCCUCUCACAGGGUAAUUGUCCAUGCAUCUUUAAGCACACAAACAUGAUUCUCCCUCCUGUGUAAAACCACUCCUCAACACAGAGCACUUGCUUCAGUGCCUCUGGCAAGCUCUCUAUUCUAGCCUGCCUCCCAGUAUCGGCUACAAUAGGUAAUUCUGCCAUAACUUCCUGCACCUUUUUGUUUACAAAAAGUCAACUGAUACACGAAACCCUUCUUGAGGUCAUGCCUCAUUCCUUGCUUCUGUCAUUUAGCACAGUACCUGGAAGAGGAUCUAGAACAUAGGAAAUGUUACACAGAGAUGCAGGUUUGGACAUAGGUGAUGAGCACUGAGAGAACUGGUUUUGAAACUUGGCUCUCAAAGCAUCCAAUUUGGUGCCUCGAACAAUUUACAUACAAUCAGUACUUUGCUACAAUAGCUUUUCCAUAAAAUGGGAAUGAUCAUCAUGUUUGUCUCACAAGAUUACUGUGAAGGUUAAAACGAGAUGACUUUUUUAAAGCACUCAGUGGAGUGCCUGCCAUAGGUUAAAUUCCCAAUAAAUAUUAUGACAUAGAGAAACUCAACAAGGUACUUUUAGGGACAUUGGCAAUGGAACAAUUUUGUCACUUAAAAUCGAGUAAUGAGUGGAUAAAAAGUGAGACAGAAUAUAUUUGUUGCAAUAUCUACCUGUAUAGACACUCAGGAGAAGUGUAGUCUACUUUUAAAGCAUCAGUGUCAUAGUCGAAUAGACACUCAAAGACUGUCUUCCCAAAGUACACUUGUGUUAGGGCAAAGACUACGACUUUUUUAAUAAGAUUGCCUUGGGUUUAAAUCCUGACUUCCCUUACAUCUAAGAUUACCUGGGCAAGUUAAUUAACUGCUCUCCACCUACUUUCUUAUAUAUAAUGGGGACUACGAUGCAUAUCAUAGUGUUAGGCAGCUUAAUAAAGUUCCGAGGAAGGUGUUUUGCAAAGAGUAGUUUUGCAAAAUAAAAAAUUAGUGUCACUACUUUGAAAACGAUGCCCUCCUUUUGCAUUGAGUGACUUCCUCUAGAUGAAGUUAAUACUCUUUCUAGUUAAUUGCUUUUUCAGAGAUUUUCAAAGCUAUGAAGCCCCGAGGUGCUUAAGGAAUCAAAUUCACCACGAGCCUGGGCAGGUAUAAAUUAGCUGGGUCCACAGCGUGGUACCUUUUUGGCUAUGACUCUGAGAGUUGCAGAUAAGUGUCCUGGUCCUGGACAAGGGGAAUGGAAUGUUUCUGCACAUAUAACCAGGACUGGCUGUAAAUUCAAGAGAUAAAAGGCUCUGAGAGAAGAUGACCUGAAAGGUAUUUGGAAAGUCAUAUGUGAUGCCACAUGUCUGUAAAAGGAAUGCUAAUUAAUCUUUAAACAUGCCUAUGAUGAAUGCUGUGGGAAUAAAUACAAUAAUGCCUAUGAAACACUAGGACAGUGCUUGACUCACAGUAAAGUCUUCAAACUUAUCAGCUCUUUUCUUUUAUAAAUGAUAAAAUUCUGGAAUAUUUAAGAGAAUCAGAGCAAUAGAGUCAGAAGGUUCUAAGAUUGAGAUGCAGUCCAAGAGUGUUCACCGUUUCCCCACAGGAAGCCCCUUUUAUUUCUCAGGGAUCCAUGUUUUUGAAGAUAUGGCCAAGCCACUAACUUAUUCUCAGCUUGUGCUGUGAUUCGUUUAAAAUAAGCUGCCCACAAAAACUCAUAAUAAUCCUGCAAAUAACAUGACAUAAAGAUACAACUGAGAUGUAUUUUCCAUCCAGCGCACACAGGAAAGAAUAUAUUCCAGUGAAUGGAAAGGAGGAUAAGUUAAAGUAAUGGGAUGUAUGCAGUAUUAGAUAAUGAGCCAUUCCAGGGAGAAUAAUACAUAGAGAAAUGUCACGGAAGUGGACUGGUGAUCAGAAAACACUGAAGGAGAGGUAAUAUUAGUGGCAAUUUGAUACCUGAAAAGUGUGAGGAAAUGCUUUGUAAAGACACCAUCUCUCUACAAAGAGAGAAGAGCAUUCUCACCAUAGGUGGAAUAACUGCCAAGCCUUUAGGAGACCCAAUUUAUUCCAGGAAUUGCAAGGAAGGCAGCAGGGCUGAGGUGGAAUGAUCAGUGAAGGGGAGAAGAACAAGAAUCAAAAGACAAAGGUAAUUAGCUUAUACUUCUUUAGAAGGAUUGGAGCUUUUCCUCUGAAUAAGUUAUGUCACUAGAGUGUUUGAGGAUGAGGGCUAAUAUGAUCGACCCGAUAUUUUAACAGGAUCACUCUGGCUGCCUUGGUGAAAGGCUCAAGGGGGUAAGGGUGGAAGUGGGGAGGACAGAGGGAGAUGAGUAGAGGCUCUGCAGCAAUGCAAGGGGGAGAAGAUAGAGGCUGAGUGUAAGUGGACCCACAGGGGCUGGGAGAAAUUGGGCAGGUUCUGGAUAUAUUUGAAGAUAGAAUUAAGAUGUUGUUGAUUAUUCAGUUACAGUGUAAAAGACAAGGAGUCAAAAAUAAUCCCAUGAUUUUCCCUAAGUGAUGAUAAUGCAUUUUCUGCAAUGGAGAGGUCUGAGAGCAAAGCAGGCUUAGAAAGGAUUGUUAGGAACUCAACCUCUCCUGAACUUCCCGGGAGACAUUCUGUAAGAGAUAUUAGGUAGGCACUUGGAUCCAUGCAUCUCAAGUUCAGAGAAGAGAAAUGGUCAAGAGAUAUCUGAUGGAUGGAGAGUAGAUAGAUAGAUAGAUAGAUAUGUGCAUACGUACAUACAUACGCACAUACAUAAGGACUCACAUAUGGAGAGCACAGAAAGUCAUUCGAAGUGAUUGUGGGAGAAAAAGAGAAUGGAUUCAAAGGUUGAGUCUGGGCUUUCCAAACUUCAAAGCUGGGGUAUCACUGACAACACGCAGCUGUAGAAGGAGAGGAAACCAGGCAUGUCUGAUGAGCUGGAAACCUAGUGAAGAGAGGGUUUCCAGCAGGAACCACUGAUGAACUAUUUCAAAUGCUGCUGAUAGAUCAAAUCAGAUGAGGAGCUAAAGGAAUUUUUGGAUUUGACUUUUUCGUAGACAUUGACCCUACUGGGGGGAAACAUUCGUGGAGUAAUCCUAUCAAAGUCUAAGUGGAACAUCUU